AUUGAACGCUGGCGGCAUGCCUUACACAUGCAAGUCGAACGGUAACGCGGGGGCAACCCUGGCGACGAGUGGCGAACGGGUGAGUAAUACAUCGGAACGUACCCAGUAGUGGGGGAUAGCCCGGCGAAAGCCGGAUUAAUACCGCAUACGCACUACGGUGGAAAGCGGGGGACCGCAAGGCCUCGCGCUACUGGAGCGGCCGAUGGCAGAUUAGCUAGUUGGUGGGGUAAAAGCCUACCAAGGCGACGAUCUGUAGCUGGUCUGAGAGGACGACCAGCCACACUGGGACUGAGACACGGCCCAGACUCCUACGGGAGGCAGCAGUGGGGAAUUUUGGACAAUGGGGGAAACCCUGAUCCAGCGAUGCCGCGUGUGUGAAGAAGGCCUUCGGGUUGUAAAGCACUUUUGUCCGGAAAGAAAUCCGUCGGGCUAAUACCCUGGCGGGAUGACGGUACCGGAAGAAUAAGCACCGGCUAACUACGUGCCAGCCGCCGCAGUAA
rnacentral:rRNA from 1 species